CAGCCGUAAACUAUGCGCGUUAGGUGUAUCGGUGACCACGAGUUACCGAGGUGCCGAAGGGAAACCGUGAAACGUGCCGCCUGGGAAGUACGGUCGCAAGGCUGAAACUUAAAGGAAUUGGCGGGGGAGCACCACAACAGGUGGAGCCUGCGGUUUAAUUGGACUCAACGCCGGGAAGCUCACCGGAUAGGACAGCAGAAUGAUUGCCGGGCUGAAGACCCCCGCAUGACUAGCUGAGAGGAGGUGCAUGGCGUCAGUGACU
rnacentral:rRNA from 1 species